rnacentral:rRNA from 1 species
GUAGGUGGCAAGCGUUGUCCGGGAAUUAUUGGGCGUAAAGCGCGCGCAGGCGGUUCUUUAAGUCUGAUGUGAAAGCCCACGGGCUCAACCGUGGAGGGUCAUUGGAAACUGGAGAACUUGAGUACAGAAGAGGAAAGCGGAAUUCCACGUGUAGCGGUGAAAUGCGUAGAGAUGUGGAGGAACACCAGUGGCGAAGGCGGCUUUCUGGUCUGUAACUGACGCUGAGGCGCGAAAGUGUGGGGAGCAAACAGGAUUAGAUACCCUGGUAGUCCACGCCGUAAACGAUGAGUGCUAAGUGUUAGGGGGUUUCCGCCCCUUAGUGCUGCAGCUAACGCAUUAAGCACUCCGCCUGGGGAGUACGGCCGCAAAGGCUG